AUGCAACAUUUACGCGACGUUAGAGAUGCUAGAAUUUUGGCGAUCCCUGUUGAGGAAAUAAAAUCCUUCUACUCUAACUGCAGCUGGUUUGAUUCCAAAGCUCACCCUAGCACAUCCGCCUUUGCGGAUGCAGAGGUUGGCGAUGGCAAACCUGAUGGUGAUGGUGAUAUGAUUUCGUCUCUAAAACAAGCGUCGUGGACUAAGAGAUUUGCAGCCUGGACCGGUGGAGACACACAAAAAUAUGGUGGAGAUGAAGCUUCCUGA